AGUUUGAUCCUGGCUCAGGAUGAACGCUGGCGGCGUGCUUAACACAUGCAAGUCGAACGAUGACUGUGCUUGCACAGAUGAUUAGUGGCGAACGGGUGAGUAACACGUGAGUAACCUGCCCUUGACUCUGGGAUAAGCCUGGGAAACUGGGUCUAAUACUGGAUAUGCACCGUGGACCGCAUGGUUCUUGGUGGAAAGAUUUUAUUGGUCAAGGAUGGACUCGCGGCCUAUCAGCUUGUUGGUGAGGUAAUGGCUCACCAAGGCGACGACGGGUAGCCGGCCUGAGAGGGUGACCGGCCACACUGGGACUGAGACACGGCCCAGACUCCUACGGGAGGCAGCAGUGGGGAAUAUUGCACAAUGGGCGAAAGCCUGAUGCAGCGACGCCGCGUGAGGGAUGACGGCCUUCGGGUUGUAAACCUCUUUCAGUAGGGAAGAAGCGAAAGUGACGGUACCUGCAGAAGAAGCGCCGGCUAACUACGUGCCAGCAGCCGCGGUAAU
rnacentral:rRNA from 1 species